rnacentral:lncRNA from 1 species
GUGAAACCCGAGAGCGCGCAGUUCGUGCCAGGCGCCGCGAGGCAGAGCGCCCGCAGCAUCCCUGCGAGGUGUCCCCAGGUUACAGAGGGGGGACUGAGGGUCGGAGAGGGGAGAAGCGUCCGCCAUCCGGGACGAGUUGCUGAGCGCGGAUUGGAACCCAGACAGUCAGAUACCUUCCUCGUGGCACCUUGUCAGCCCAGCUCUGGGGGGACUUGGAUUAAUUCUCUGAAGGUCCACUCUGGGGAGGUGCUGGGGUCUGGACCCGGUGCAAUCUAUACUCUCGAGGACUCCGAGGGCUGCGUUUAUGCCUGGAUAAUGUCAUAUGGCUUAGAUGCGCUGUCACAAAGUGGGUGGUGGCAACGUGCCCUGCGCGCCGCAUGGAGCGCAGAGCGCCCAGGGAGAAACAGGCGCACGGUUUAGGGAGCCAGCGCCGGGGCUUUUUGCACCCACAAGAAACGACAGCUCGCCACCUCCCCCAGGGUAUCUGUCCCGGUCAGUGGCUCCCAGAGAGUCCCCAGAGGACCUGUCUGAGCAACCCUGUAGCCCUGUGAACCUCGGAGGGCCCAACUACCUACCUAUCCAAGUGCUAUGCUGAACUGCGAUUCCUUCCUGUUCCCCUACAACCUCCCAUCCCCUGCCCUCCCCGCUGCCCAAAGGGACCUACCGUCUUCAUAAUGUGGGGCAUUCCUUCUAGACGUUUCCCAACACCUGUACAGUCCAUAUGUUUGCCUGGGGGGAUAUGUGAAAUCCUUUGAUCGUGGUGAGCGUGGUGGGCAGGUGGGCAACAGAAAUGUCAUAACCCAUCUGGUCAUUCUGCAACUGACCCCUCACCAGCUAUCUAUACAGAGCCAUCCACACUGCUGCGUUUAAACCAGCUGGUUGAUUUAAACUGCUGCCUGGGUAGGCCACUGAGGGACGUCUGGGUCCCCAAAUUUGGGAGGGGCUUUUAUUUUAGACUCUUCUAUGAAUUGCCAUCGGAGAUUAAGUUCAAUUUCCUGUCGCUUGUCCUAAACUGAUUGUACAGGAUCUGAGUUUGGGAGGUGCUGCUUCUUCUUUUCCAUCGCACACACACAGGCUCGUGUACGCAUGCACACGCACACACCCAUGUGUAACAUGCACACCGAUGAGCGCACACACACACACACACACACGCACGCACACAUCUCUAUUCUGUCUGCCUGUGGCCGAGGACAGACACUCAGGCCCCUCUGGCUGCAAUCUGUGGCUGCAGUCCCCGCAGAGCCCAAAGUCUGGGACCGACUCAGGCCUCAAACUCUGCUAGUCCAAGCCCAAUGGGCAGAGUCCACCCACUGUCACAUCCGGGGGCUCUUUUUAGCUGCCCACAAGCCCAUCCCUGCCCUGUGAGAGAAGACAGAGGCCAAAGCAGGGGUCCAGCCACCUCUGAUGUCCCCCACCCCACCCCACCUGUGGAGGACCAUAGCAGAGGCCGGGAGGGCCAGUCUUAGGAGGCUUAGAUCCUGGCCCGGGAGCCCCACCCUGGUCACUGCCCAAGUCCAGAGAGGACGGGGGGGCUGGCCGUGGAGGAGCCACCUGCCCGGGAACACCUUUACUGCAGAAUUCAGGGCAAGCAGGGUCCCUGGAACAUGUCAAGGAGAAGCCAUGUUCCUGCGGUCAGCAGGCUGAUGGGUGGCCACGCACCCGCCUUUGGAACAGGAGCCUGGCUGAGCCUCACGGGGCCCUGUGGCCUGCUG